rnacentral:rRNA from 1 species
CAUGCAGUCGAGCGGCAGCACAAGGGAGUUUACUNCUGACGUGGCGAGCGGCGGACGGGUGANUAAUGCCUAGGGAUCUGCCCAGUCGUGGGGGAUAACAGUUGGAAACGACUGCUAAUACCGCAUACGCCCUACGGGGGAAAGGAGGGGACCUUCGGGCCUUUCGCGAUUGGAUGAACCUAGGUGGGAUUAGCUAGUUGGUGAGGUAAUGGCUCACCAAGGCGACGAUCCCUAGCUGGUCUGAGAGGAUGAUCAGCCACACUGGAACUGAGACACGGUCCAGACUCCUACGGGAGGCAGCAGUGGGGAAUAUUGCACAAUGGGGGAAACCCUGAUGCAGCCAUGCCGCGUGUGUGAAGAAGGCCUUCGGGUUGUAAAGCACUUUCAGUAGGGAGGAAAGGUAGUGGUUUAAUACGCCAUUGCUGUGACGUUACCUACAGAAGAAGGACCGGCUAACUCCGUGCCAGCAGCCGCGGUAAUACGGAGGGUCCGAGCGUUAAUCGGAAU